AAAAUUUCACAAUAGUUUGCAUGCUGAUUUGAGCCUCUCCCAAUUCACUAAUAACCUCAUUGGACCAAGCAGGGCUCAAUGUAUUUCUUCACCAGCACAUGCUUUCUGACAGCAUUACGCAUCACC
ensembl:misc_RNA